rnacentral:lncRNA from 1 species
ACAAGAGUUGAACAAGAGAUUUUGUUUUUAUUUCCUCUCUAGUCGUUCAAGGACACAAAGCAAAGCUCAACAAAAGCAAAAUUUUCCUGUCAGGGGUCCCCUAGUCCCUGCGUUUAGGUGAGAACGAGAACCUACUGCCUUCAAAUAAAAAGUACAUUUGACUCUAUCUUCAUGAUCAGUUAUUUCCUACAGAUAUACAUGUAUAAACAUUUGUGCAUGUAUACACUCAUAUGAGCAAAGUUAUAAAUCAGAAUUGUGCUUAUGUUUUUCUUGAGAGUGGUAAUCUAUGUUAAGAAUAAGUAAGCCCACAUGCCCUGAUGAUAAUAAUAAUCUUUUAAAUUUAUGCUGAUCUUUACAGUACAUAAAGUGAUUAUUUAGAUUAUUUCAUUAUGCUCACAACAACUUUGUAGGUAAGUGGAACAUUGUUAUUGGUGUAAUCAUUUUAUAAAUAAAAUAUGGUUAUUGGUGUAAUCAUUUUAUAAAUAAGGAUACUGAGGCUUGGAGAAAUUGAAUGAUCUGCCCAUCAUCACUGAGAGAUUCAAGUAGGCACCCAGCACAACAUUAGUGAAUGAAAAUAUAAAUGCAAGAAGAAAAGCCAAGACUUCUGACUAUGUAUUUUUCACUCUUGCCACACUAACGUUUUAGCUGCCAUUUUUAAAUAUAUUUUGAAUCUAUGUAUCUGAUAUAAAUUCAAAAUAAAAUUUCCAAAAAUAUUUUUUCUGACAUUAUAACUAUAACAAACUAUUGAUUAGAAUCAAUAAACAAAUAAAACACUAAUGAGUUUAAUGUAUCAUCCCUAUUGUAGUCUUAACUACUACAUAUGACAUUUAUAUGUCAUCUCCACAUUUGCUUUGAUUUGUUCAUUCAAUUCACUCUAAAAUAUAUUUACUUGGAUCUUCUAUACUCCAGGCUAAGGGUUAGGGGUAUAGUGCUGAACAAAACAAAACCAGCCCCUGCUCUUAUGGCACAGAUAGUCUGGUUAGGAAUGUAGACAUUUAAUAAACAUACAGAUGCAGAAAUUGUGAGAGUGGAAAAGAACGGUGUAGUCUGAGGUAAGUUAACAAAGAUCUAAUUUAGAUUGGAAGACAGGCAGGCAACUCUGUGUAGGUGACAUUUAAGCUGAGGCCUAAACUGUUCAUUCAUUUCUUCAACAGAUGUUCCCUGUGUCCAUAUGCUGUCUCGGCCAAGCUGUGAUGUACAAGUCAUACAAGUGCCAUGAUGUACAAUGAUGAGCAGGACAGACAUGGUCCCUGACCUCAGGGAGCUCCCUGUGAAAGGACAACAGGAGAAACAAACUUGAUUUGGGACUUGAAAAAAAUUAAUUUAGCCAUUGAGCUCAAAAUAAGUAACACAAGAGUUCCUCCCUGGAUGUAUUAUUUUAAAACCUAAAUUCGGACUUGAGUAGUUCAUCCAGUAAAAUUUGGCAUAUCUUCAUCCUUCAAUAACCAUCUUUCAAAGAAAGAGUUCUAAAAUGGCUUUGUCCCAUUAAGACUGAUCCAGGGCUAGGUAUAAUCUUGAGAAUACUGAGAUCAAACUCUGUAAUAAGCUAAGAUCACAAGAGAUGCCAGUAUUUUACAAUCCCCACCUAUUCUUUUUUGUUUAUAAAUAUGACUUAAUUUUUUAUAUUUCUCUAAUAUAAUUUUAUGAUAUCAUCCAAUGAACUUAAUGCUUACCUCAACUGGAUCAACUGAAAAUAGCUAUCUUUUAAAUAAUCACAUUUGUCGAAACAAUUGAAGAACAUUACCAUAAG